GGUACCACAAUGGGAAAUUUCAUUGGUGUCUUUGUUGGUGGAGUCCUCUGUGAGUACUCAGGCUGGCCAAGUAUCUUUUACACCUUUGGAAGCUUUGGCUGUGUCUACUGUAUUGCCUGGUUUUUUCUAGUUUAUGAUGAUCCCUUAAAUCACCCACUCAUAAGUGAUAAUGAAAAGGAAUACAUCAUUUCUUCAACGGUUGAACAGCUACUAGUGAAACAAGUAAACAGAACCUGCCUCAGUCUUAUGAAAAGAAAAGAAAGAGGAGGAAAAAAGGAAAAGAAAACUGAAUGUUGCAUAAGUACAAAAACCAAGCCCUAAGAAAAGAUAAUGAGAAGACAUCUCCCUCAACUCAUCUGCAGAAAUAAGAGGUCAAUUCUCUCAGCUGGUCUUUGCCCUUCAAAGCUAUAAUCAAGGCACUGCCAUUUUGGGCCAUUAUAGUCCCUGCCAUUUGUCGAUUCUGGUUAAUUAGCAACUUAACAAUGUCACUGCCAGCACUUUUGGAUAAUAUGUUUGAUAUAAACUUCAAAGAGAAUGGGUUUCUGAGUGCACUGCCUCUUAUUACUUCCUGGAUUACUAUGACUUUAGGAAGUCAUAUAGCUGAUUUCCUCCUGUCCAAGAAGAUUCUCACACUCAUCAGAGUUAGGAAACUCUUCACAUUCUUGGGAAUGCUUCCUCCCUCUUUAUUCAUCUUAGCUAUACCAUACGUCAAAGCCAUUAUUAUUAUAAUCCUUUUGAUAUUGGCUAUGUCAAUGAGUUGCCUGUGUUCCUCUGGAUUCAUCUUUAACCCUCUAGAUAUUGCUCCCAGGUAAGAUGCUCUGUCUUCUCUCUUGUUUCUCAGAAAAUAUGGAAUAGUGGAAAGAAGCUGAAUGCAUAUUGCAACUUCAACCUUGGGAAAGGAGGAGGAGAAACUCAAUAAAAAAUAGCAGCUGGGGGUGUGUAGGAGGGCAUUAGUGAGUUAUAUGUCCAAACCUGGAAGUGUGAUUAUAUGUUUAUAAAAACAGGGAUGUUUGGAAGAGGAAUAGGGUUUUAUGGAUAUUCUAAUGGAUAUUUAAUGGAAUAUUAGCCAUUGAGGAAUGGAGGGUUCAAGAAUAAAAUUCUGAAGAGAAAACUAAACCCAUAGGGACUGGUCUUUCAAGACAGGGAACAGAAAGGAAAAAGGAAAAAUGUCUGAGAGGGAAUGGCCAGAAAGGAGAAUUAAGGAAUAAUAGCAUUGCAGUGGUGAUAGGAGGCUGUAUCUGAGAAUAGAAAGUGAUCAACAAUGUCCAAAAGUGACAGAGAAAUCAAGUUAAGGUUAAACACACAUUAAAAUCCCCUGGAUCCACAGUUGAGAAAUUGUUGAUAACCUUGAAAAUACUUUUGGCCAUUAGCUGUGGUAUUGGAGAGCAGCCUGUAAUUCGUUUAAAUGAGGGUGAGAAGAAAAAAGAGGGAAAUGAAUUCAGUUGAAUCUUUCCAGAAAUUUUGGUGUCAAAGAAAAAGAAACAAGAAAAAAUUUGAGGGAAUAGCAAAGAAAGAUUUUUCAAGAUGGGGAAGAAAGCCUUCAAAAAUCCAAGCUUGCUCAAGUGUUACAAUUAGUUUACAGAGUAUAACUUUGUUAAGCCUCAUUAUUUCUUUCAUUACAUUGACUUCCAUAUAUUCUUUUCAUUUUAUAUCUACUAAUUGUGACAUUAUAAACAGGGAAAAUAUAGUUGGAGUUCAUUUCUGCCUGCUACAUCUCUCUUAAUGCAGGGUAAAGUCAUUCUUAUAUUUGG